rnacentral:rRNA from 1 species
UACGUAGGGCGCAAGCGUUGUCCGGAAUUAUUGGGCGUAAAGAGCUCGUAGGCGGCUUGUCACGUCGGGUGUGAAAGCCCGGGGCUUAACCCCGGGUCUGCAUUCGAUACGGGCAGGCUAGAGUGUGGUAGGGGAGAUCGGAAUUCCUGGUGUAGCGGUGAAAUGCGCAGAUAUCAGGAGGAACACCGGUGGCGAAGGCGGAUCUCUGGGCAGUAACUGACGCUGAGGAGCGAAAGCGUGGGGAGCAAACAGG